UUUUUGAGAUAAAAUUUGGCCAGCGUGUUCAAUGUAACCUUUGGCUGAGUUGGACUGGGUUGCACAACCUUCUCUAGGAAAGAGCGUUUUCGGUGUCUCCCCAUGGAACUGACCAUUGCACAACCCCAUCCUCACACUCCCUUCCUGUUCUACUGUUACAGUUGGGUUCUGCACUUUGUUCCACAAGACCCAAACCACAACAUGGAUGUCCUUGAGCCUGCUAUAAAACACCUCGUGGCAGGGAAUUGCCACACCUCCCCAUGGUGAAAGGGCCGACAUGCUGGCGGUUCACUGCACUGUAAAACCACCAUGGGUGUGGGGGGAAAAGUAUAUGCUUGCACAUUUGUACACUGGAACAGAAGUUGUUACGUGCAGAAAUCCUAUCUCAUGUCAGGAGAGAUAGCUACAAUUUAGGUUCAUAAAUUUCAGAUGUAGAAAAAGGGGAAAAGAACCUAAUUCACCUCAACACCUUCCAAUACUUGAAGGGAGCAUAUGAACAGGAGGGGGAAAGGCUGUUUAUGAGGGUGGAUAGUACAGGACAAGGGGGAAUGCUCUUAAACUGGGACAGGGGAAGUUUAGGUUAGAUAUUAGGAGGAAGUUUUUCACACAGAGGGUGGUGACGCACUGGAACAGGUUGCCCAAGGAGGUUGUGGAUGCCCCAUCCCUGCCAGCAUUCAAGGCCAGGCUGGAUGUGGCUCUGGGCAGCCUGGUCUGGUGGUUGGCGACCCUGCACGUAGCAGGGGGGUUGAAACGAGAUGGUCAUUGUGGUCCUUUUCAACCCAGGCCAUUUUAUGAUUCUAUGAACAAAGGAGCAGCUUCUUGCACUAUGACUCAUUUGUAAUUGUACUUUUUUUGCCUCAUAUCUCCUUGACCUGAGCCUGGUAGAAAUACAUCUAAGAUCAAACCUGUCCAUGCAGUUGCAGACACUCUGCAGCCUUCUCUGUCCUUCCUGACAUGAAUCCCAAACCUCAACACACACUGGUGAGAAAUGAAUUAUUUUGAUUUCUGGCCCAAACCCGACAGGUUCUACCUGAAAACUCCUUGCUUCCUCUACAACAGUUCACACUUCUGUAUCUGAGAGGGGGGACAUACCCUGUACAGGGCAGUAAGCAGUGUGCCAUUGUGGUUUACUGAUGUUUUUUUGAAUAAAUUCAACACUUUCU
ensembl:lncRNA